UACGUAGGGAGCAAGCGUUGUUCGGAUUUACUGGGCGUAAAGGGCGCGUAGGCGGCAAUUCAAGUCAUCUGUGAAAUCUCCGGGCUUAACUCGGAACUGUCAGAUGAUACUGCUUUGCUAGAGUGCAGAAGGGGCAAUCGGAAUUCUUGGUGUAGCGGUGAAAUGCGUAGAUAUCAAGAGGAACACCUGAGGUGAAGACGGGUUGCUGGGCUGACACUGACGGCUGAGGCGACGAAAGCCCAGGGGAGCAAACGGG
rnacentral:rRNA from 1 species